CCCAACUGCUCUUCCAAAGGUCUGAAGUUCAAAUCCCAGCAACCACAUGGUGGCUCACAACCAUCUGUAACAAGAUCUGACGCCCUCUUCUGGGGUAUCUGAAGACAGCUACAGUGUACUUACAUAUAAUAAAUAAAUAAAUCUUUAAAAAAAAAAAGAAUCUAUGGCAAAAAGAAAACAAACAAACAAACAAAAAAAAAACUAUGGCAAGGGCCCAGUAAGGAGGUGACUCAGCAGUUAAAGCACUUGCCACAGGCGAGACCUCAGGAGUAUGGAUCCCUAGAACCUAUGUAAUUAAUGCCAGGUGGCCAUGGUGGCCACAAUUCCAGCCUAUGAAGGAGGAGCACCAGGCUUGCUCGAGGGAGUGGCC
rnacentral:lncRNA from 1 species